rnacentral:rRNA from 1 species
AAAGAGUGCGUCUAAGCAUUUAGGCUGAUCAGAUAGGCAAAUCCGUUUGAUCUUAAGGCUGAGGUGUUAUGGGGAGCCAUUUAUGGCGAAGCAUCUGAUUCCACGCUGCCAAGAACAGCCUCUAAGGAGGAGUUUGGUGCCCGUACCGCAAACCGACACAGGUAGGUGAGGAGAGAAUCCUAAGGCCGGCGGAAGAAUUACUGUUAAGGAACUCGGCAAAUUGACCCCGUAACUUCGGGAGAAGGGGUGCCUACGAGAGUAGGCCGCAGUGAAUAGGCCCAAACAACUGUUUACCAAAAACACAGGUCUCUGCUAAAUCGUAAGAUGAUGUAUAGGGGCUGACGCCUGCCCGGUGCUGGAAGGUUAAGGGGAUCACUUAGCGCAAGCGAAGGUGUGAACUUAAGCCCCAGUAAACGGCGGCCGUAACUAUAACGGUCCUAAGGUAGCGAAAUUCCUUGUCGGGUAAGUUCCGACCCGCACGAAUGGCGUAAUGAUUUGGGCACUGUCUCAACAGUAAAUCCGGUGAAAUUGUAGUACCAGUGAAGAUGCUGGUUACCCGCGGUUGGACGGAAAGACCCCGUAGAGCUUUACUGUAGCUUAGCAUUGAAUUUCGGUAUUGUCUGUACAGGAUAGGUGGGAGACUAGGAAACUGGGGCGUUAGCUUCAGUGGAGUCGUCCUUGGGAUACCACCCUGGCAGUACUGGAAUUCUAACGAGUGGCCAUGAAUCUGGUCAUCGGACAUUGCUAGGUGGGCAGUUUGACUGGGGCGGUCGCCUCCUAAAGAGUAACGGAGGCGCUCAAAGGUUCCCUCAGCGCGGUCGGAAAUCGCGCGAAGAGUGCAAAGGCAGAAGGGAGCCUGACUGCGACACCUACAAGUGGAGCAGGGACGAAAGUCGGACUUAGUGAUCCGGUGGUACCUCGUGGGAGGGCCAUCGCUCAACGGAUAAAAGCUACCUCGGGGAUAACAGGCUUAUCUCCCCCAAGAGUCCACAUCGACGGGGAGGUUUGGCACCUCGAUGUCGGCUCGUCGCAUCCUGGGGCUGUAGCUGGUCCCAAGGGUUGGGCUGUUCGCCCAUUAAAGCGGCACGCGAGCUGGGUUCAGAACGUCGUGAGACAGUUCGGUCCCUAUCCGCCGCGGGCGUAGGAAAUUUGAGAGGAGCUGUCCUUAGUACGAGAGGACCGGGAUGGACUGACCUCUGGUGUACCAGUUGUCGCGUCAGCGGCAUCGCUGGGUAGCUAUGUCGGGAAGGGAUAAACGCUGAAGGCAUCUAAGCGUGAAGCCCACCUCAAGAUAAGAUUUCCCUGCCUAGUGCAAUAAGAUCCCUUGAAGAACACAAGGUUGAUAGGCUGGAGGUGUAAGUGUGGUAACACAUGUAGCUGACCAGUACUAAUAGAUCGAAGACUUAAUCU